rnacentral:rRNA from 1 species
CUGCCGGCGAGUGGCGAACGGGUGAGUAAUACAUCGGAACGUACCCAGUAGCGGGGGAUAGCCCGGCGAAAGCCGGAUUAAUACCGCAUACGCCCUAAGGAUGAAAGCGGGGGAUCGCAAGACCUCGCGCGAUUGGAGCGGCCGAUGUUAGAUUAGGUAGUUGGUGAGGUAAAGGCUCACCAAGCCUACGAUCUAUAGCUGGUCUGAGAGGACGACCAGCCACACCGGAACUGAGACACGGUCCAGACUCC